GGGGAAUUUUCCGCAAUGGGCGCAAGCCUGACGGAGCAACGCCGCGUGAGGGAUGAAGGCCUCUGGGCUGUAAACCUCUUUUCUCAAGGAAGAAGAACUGACGGUACUUGAGGAAUAAGCCACGGCUAAUUCCGUGCCAGCAGCCGCGGUAAUACGGGAGUGGCAAGCGUUAUCCGGAAUUAUUGGGCGUAAAGCGUCCGCAGGCGGCCUUGAAAGUCUGUCGUUAAAGCGUGGAGCUUAACUCCAUUUCGGCGGUGGAAACUACAAGGCUUGAGUGUGGUAGGGGCAGAGGGAAUUCCCGGUGUAGCGGUGAAAUGCGUAGAUAUCGGGAAGAACACCAGUGGCGAAGGCGCUCUGCUGGGCCAUAACUGACGCUCAUGGACGAAAGCUAGGGGAGCGAAAGGGAUUAGAUACCC
rnacentral:rRNA from 1 species